rnacentral:rRNA from 1 species
AUACGUAGGGGACAAGCGUUAUCCGGAUUUACUGGGUUUAAAGGGAGCGCAGACGGCAGUGCAAGUCUGAAGUGGAAGCCCGGGGCUCAACCCCGGGACUGCUUUGGAAACUGUUCUGCUAGAGUACUGGAAGGGCAAGCGGAAUUCCUGGUGUAGCGGUGAAAUGCGUAGAUAUCAGGAGGAACACCGGUGGCGAAGGCGGCUUGCUGGACAGCAACUGACGUUGAGGCUCGAGAGCGUGGGGAGCAAACAGGAUUAGAUACCCUGGUAGUCCACGCUGUAAACGAUGAAUACUAGGUGUUGGGAGACUAAGUCUUUCAGUGCCGUCGCAAACGCAGUAAGUAUUCCACCUGGGGAGUACGUUCGCAAGAAUGAAACUCAAAGGAAUUGACGGGG